CCCUUAGAUGUCCUGGGCCGCACGCGCGCUACACUGAUGCAUUCAACGAGUUCUACCUUGGCCGAGAGGCCUGGGCAAUCUUUUGAACCUGCAUCGUGAUAGGGAUAGAUUAUUGCAAUUAUUAAUCUUGAACGAGGAAUUCCUAGUAAACGCAGAUCAUCAAUCUGCAUUGAUUACGUCCCUGCCCUUUGUACACACCGUCCGUCGCACCUACCGAUUGAAUGGUCCGGUGAAGCCUCGGGAUUGUGGCGAGUUCCCUUUAUUGGGAGUUUGUCGCGAGAACUUGUCUAAACCUUAUCAUUUAGAGGAAGGUGAAGUCGUAACA
rnacentral:rRNA from 1 species